UGAUAGCAGUGAUGAUGAUGACUUUGUCACUCUACCUGAUUUAAAAGCUGAUGGGUUUUUAGUCACUACCUCAUCUGAGACUUUCA